rnacentral:ncRNA from 3 species
GGAUAUCAUCAUAUACUGUAA